CAGUCGCCGCGGUAAUACGUAGGGUGCAAGCGUUGUCCGGAAUUAUUGGGCGUAAAGAGCUCGUAGGCGGUUUGUCGCGUCUGCUGUGAAAUCCCGAGGCUCAACCUCGGGCUUGCAGUGGGUACGGGCAGACUAGAGUGCGGUAGGGGAGAUUGGAAUUCCUGGUGUAGCGGUGGAAUGCGCAGAUAUCAGGAGGAACACCGAUGGCGAAGGCAGAUCUCUGGGCCGUAACUGACGCUGAGGAGCGAAAGCAUGGGGAGCGAACAGGAUUAGAUACCCCGGUAGUCCCUGUCUCUUAUAU
rnacentral:rRNA from 1 species